rnacentral:piRNA from 1 species
CCACAGAUGUUGACUGCCUGAGCCGCUGU